rnacentral:rRNA from 1 species
GACGAACGCUGGCGGCGUGCUUAACACAUGCAAGUCGAGCGGUAAGGCCCUUUCGGGGGUACACGAGCGGCGAACGGGUGAGUAACACGUGGGUGACCUGCCCUCAGCUCUGGGAUAAGCCUGGGAAACCGGGUCUAAUACUGGAUAUGACUCCAUGACGCAUGUUGUGGGGUGGAAAGCCUUGUGCGGCUGGAGAUGGGCCCGCGGCCUAUCAGCUUGUUGGUGGGGUGAGGCCUACCAAGGCGACGACGGGUAGCCGGCCUGAGAGGGCGACCGGCCACACUGGGACUGAGACACGGCCCAGACUCCUACGGGAGGCAGCAGUGGGGAAUCUUGCGCAAUGGGCGAAAGCCUGACGCAGCGACGCCGCGUGAGGGAUGACGGCC